rnacentral:rRNA from 1 species
GGUGAACGCUGGCGGUAGGCCUAACACAUGCAAGUCGAACGGCAGCACAGUAAGAGCUUGCUCUUACGGGUGGCGAGUGGCGGACGGGUGAGGAAUACAUCGGAAUCUACUUUUUCGUGGGGGAUAACGUAGGGAAACUUACGCUAAUACCGCAUACGACCUACGAGUGAAAGCAGGGGAUCUUCGGACCUUGCGCGAUUGAAUGAGCCGAUGUCGGAUUAGCUAGUUGGCGGGGUAAAGGCCCACCAAGGCGACGAUCCGUAGCUGGUCUGAGAGGAUGAUCAGCCACACUGGAACUGAGACACGGUCCAGACUCCUACGGGAGGCAGCAGUGGGGAAUAUUGGACAAUGGGCGCAAGCCUGAUCCAGCCAUACCGCGUGGGUGAAGAAGGCCUUCGGGUUGUAAAGCCCUUUUGUUGGGAAAGAAAAGCAGCAGGUUAAUACCCCGCUGUUCUGACGGUACCCAAAGAAUAAGCACCGGCUAACUUCGUG